UGGAAAAUUAAUAACUGUGACUAGCUGAGGAUUUUUAGAAAUUAUUUCAUUUAUUUAUUUAAUAAAAUUUAUACACUGCGUGUGUGUGUGUGUGUGUGUGUGUGUGUGUGUGUGUGUACACACACACACAUACCUCAAAGGAAAGGAGACUCCAU